UACGUAGGGUGCGAGCGUUAAUCGGAAUUACUGGGCGUAAAGCGUGCGCAGGCGGUUCGUUGUGUCCGAUGUGAAAGCCCCGAGCUCAACUUGGGGAAUGGCAUUGGAAACUGGGCGGGCUGGAGUGUGGCAGAGGGGGGGUGGAAUUCCGACGUGUAGCAGUGAAAUGCGUAGAGAUGUGGAGGGAACACCGAUGGCGAAGGC
rnacentral:rRNA from 1 species